rnacentral:rRNA from 1 species
UACGUAGGGCGCAAGCGUUGUCCGGAAUUAUUGGGCGUAAAGAGCUCGUAGGCGGUUUGUCGCGUCUGCUGUGAAAACCUAAGGCUCAACCUUGGGCCUGCAGUGGGUACGGGCAGGCUAGAGUUCGGUAGGGGAGACUGGAAUUCCUGGUGUAGCGGUGAAAUGCGCAGAUAUCAGGAGGAACACCGGUGGCGAAGGCGGGUCUCUGGGCCGAUACUGACGCUGAGGAGCGAAAGCGUGGGGAGCGAACAGG